rnacentral:lncRNA from 1 species
UGCUAUGCAGUCGAAAGCUCCGUUCCUCAUUCCAAGACAAAAAGAUUGAGAAAGAGGGUGUUCACCCGUUUUCGUGUUUAACUCCUGAUGUGGAAGGGCGAAGUUCCCCACUGGCUUGAAGACCACUAGCUGGUCGACAAGUCAGCUUUCUUUGGUGUGUGAGCGUGCCACUGCUAGCAAUGUAGAUUCUAGCAGACUUAUUUUGAGAGUGGAUAACUUGCG